AGCGAACGCUGGCGGCAGGCUUAACACAUGCAAGUCGAACGGUCCUUUGGGAUAGUGGCGGACGGGUGAGUAACACGUGGGAACGUACCCUUAGGUUCGGAACAACACAGGGAAACUUGCGCUAAUACCGGAUAAGCCCUUCGGGGGAAAGAUUUAUCGCCUUUGGAGCGGCCCGCGUCUGAUUAGCUUGUUGGUGAGGUAAUGGCUCACCAAGGCUACGAUCAGUAGCUGGUCUGAGAGGAUGGCCAGCCACCCUGGGACUGAGACACGGCCCAGACUCCUACGGGAGGCAGCAGUGGGGAAUCUUGCGCAAUGGGCGAAAGCCUGACGCAGCCAUGCCGCGUGGAUGAUGAAGGUCUUAGGAUUGUAAAAUCCUUUCACCGGGGACGAUAAUGACGGUACCCGGAGAAGAAGCCCCGGCUAACUUCGUGCCAGCAGCCGCCGUAA
rnacentral:rRNA from 1 species